rnacentral:rRNA from 1 species
GACGAACGCUGGCGGUGUGCUUAACACAUGCAAGUCGAACGGUAAGGCCCUUUCGGGGGUACACGAGUGGCGAACGGGUGAGUAACACGUUAGUAACCUGCCCUCAUCUCUGGGAUAACAGUCGGAAACGGUUGCUAAUACUGGAUAUGAGCUUGCAAGGCAUCUUGUGGGUUGGAAAGAUUUUUUUGGUUGGGGAUGGACUCGCGGCCUAUCAGCUUGUUGGUGAGGUAGUGGCUCACCAAGGCUUCGACGGGUAGCCGGCCUGAGAGGGCGACCGGCCACAUUGGGACUGAGAUACGGCCCAAACUCCUACGGGAGGCAGCAGUGGGGAAUAUUGCACAAUGGACGGAAGUCUGAUGCAGCAACGCCGCGUGCGGGAUGACGGCCUUCGGGUUGUAAACCGCUUUCAAUUGUGACGAAGCUUUUUGUGACGGUAGCAGUAGAAGAAGCACCGGCUAACUACGUG